AACGGCGGCCGUAACUAUAACGGUCCUAAGGUAGCGAAAUUCCUUGUCGGGUAAGUUCCGACCCGCACGAAAGGUGUAACGAUUUGGGCACUGUCUCAACGAGGGACCCGGUGAAAUUGAAAUACCUGUGAAGAUGCAGGUUACCCGCGACUGGACAGAAAGACCCCAUGGAGCUUUACUGUAACCUGACAUUGGGUUUUGAUACAUUACGUACAGGAUAGGUGGGAGGCAUGGAAAGCUGGACGCUAGUCUGGCUGGAGCCGACGUUGGGAUACCACCCUUGAUGUAUUGAAAUUCUAACCGCGAGAGUAACGAAAUCCGGGACAGUGUCAGGCGGGCAGUUUGACUGGGGCGGUCGCCUCCGAAAGAGUAACGGAGGCGCCCAAAGGUUCCCUCAGCGCGGCCGGAAAUCGCGCGAAGAGUGUAAAGGCAGAAGGGAGCUUGACUGCGAGUCAAACACGACGAGCAGGUACGAAAGUAGGGCUUAGUGAUCCGGUGGUACCGAGUGGAAGGGCCAUCGCUCAACGGAUAAAAGCUACCCUGGGGAUAACAGGCUAAUCUCUCCCAAGAGUCCAUAUCGACGGGGAGGUUUGGCACCUCGAUGUCGGCUCAUCACAUCCUGGGGCUGAAGUCGGUCCCAAGGGUUGGGCUGUUCGCCCAUUAAAGUGGUACGUGAGCUGGGUUCAGAACGUCGUGAGACAGUUCGGUCCCUAUCCAUCGCGGGCGCAAGAGAUUUGAAGGGGGCUGCUCCUAGUACGAGAGGACCGGAGUGGACGAACCGCUGGUGUACCAAUUAUCCCGCCAGGGGUACAGUUGGGUAGCUACGUUCGGAAAGGAUAAACGCUGAAAGCAUCUAAGCGUGAAACCAGCCUUAAGAUGAGAUCUCUCAUAGAGCAAUCUAGUAAGACACCUUAAAGAAGAUGAGGUUGAUAGGUCGGGAGUGUAAGUACAGCAAUGUAUUGAGCGGACCGAUACUAAUAUGUCGAGGGCUUGACUUA
rnacentral:rRNA from 1 species